GCAGAGCAGCUCAUACACACCAUCAUCAUCUCCUGAUGAGCAGCGUCUUCAGUCUUCAGUCUGAUUCCCGUGUGUGCAGUGAAUGAAGAGCUCUUUAAACACGGCAGUGGAAACUUGUGAAACAUCUGUCAGUCUGUGUGUUAUUCCACAAACUUCUGCUUUGACCUGCAGACCAAACAUACACUCCUGUCAGUAACUGCCUGUCAAGAUUUCAUGAAACAAUGGCAGAACAAAACGCCAGCGUC